rnacentral:lncRNA from 1 species
GAUGGUGUAACCUCUGACCAGAAGUAUGAAAACAGCAACUACAACAACAAUGGCUAUACUAGCACUUACAACAAUAAUGGUUACGAGAGGAGCAACUACAACAACAAGAACAACAACAAUGGCUACAAACUUGGUAGUGCUAGAUAUGAGACAGGUAAUCAAAACAACAAUGGCUACACCAACAAGUACUACAAUAAUGGCUACAAACUAGCUGGUGAAAGCUAUGAAGCAGGCAAUCAAAAUACUGAGAAUGGCUACGACAACAAUGGCAACACAAACAACUACAACAACAAUGGCUACACCAACAAGUACUACAAUAAUGGCUACAAACUAGCUGGUGAAAGCUAUGAAGCAGGCAGUCAGAAAAGUGAGAAUGGCUACAGCAACAACUACAACAACAACGGCUACACCAACAAGUACUACAAUAAUGGCUACAAGCUACCUGGUGAAAGCUAUGUAGUGGGCAACCAGAAUAGUGAGAAUGGCUACACCAACACCUACAACAACAAUGGCAACACAAACAACUACAACAAC